UAUUAGGACCCUGAUUAGUUUUCAAAGACAAAUCAGGUACACUUAGUUUUGACAGCAGUUUUGAUGUUUGGUUCCAUGUCUGGUCUAUUUUCUCUGUUAGAGGAAACAUCAGAGAGGUUCAGCCAUGUAUGAUUGAGCCCAGUGAGAGCCAGAAGAUAAGGACUCUGUUGUGCACUGAAAUCAGAGACUAGCAGACCUAUUGAAUGUACAAAUCCAAACGGCUCCUGCAGGGCUUUGGAUAGGAAUGAAUGAACGUCUUAUAAAUACCAUCACUCCUCACAAUCAGGCUGCUCUGUUUUCCCUCAGGUGCUGCGGGGAGUUUGACAGCAGAGACCGAGGAAACCACAUCUCAUCAGCUGCUCGGAUCCAGCAGGCUGCACUGUGACACACUUCUAGCUGUGCCCCCUUCAGAUUCAGGAUUAGCAAGUCUAUUUUUGUCUGGAAAUUGUGGCUUUGAACCUUGAACCCCUCACCACUGGAUGCUUGUGAGGUUGCCAAUCUAGGACUUUUCCCUCAUGAGUGUCACUAAAGGACACUCUAGAGAAAUGGCGUUAAAUUGUUGUGUUUGAAUACAACCACAAAUCCCUUAGUCCAGUUUAAUAUGGACUCAUAUUGAGUUUUUUUUUAAAGAUGAUGUUUAGUAAGUUUAUUUCCCUUAUUUUGUGGAUGUUGAUAAAGAAAAUGCAUUAUAUUUCUGUACUUAGAGAGGGAGAAAUGGCCUGUAACAGUAAAUUGAAUUAGGACAGCACUAUAUUUCAAUGUACCACAAGGUGGAGGAUUGAAAGUAAGCAAGGAAAUGUGAUGCAACAUGAAUAAAAAUUUCUAAAUUGUUUUUUGUUAAACUCUUUAAAAAAUGGGACAUUUUGUUCCUCAAAUUAGCUUGAGGCUAUUUUAAAAGUGAGUUGUUGGGCUAUAAACUAUUUCAAAUCUUUACCAGACAUUCCUUUUGAAGAUCUUCUGCAAGUUAAUGUGUUUUAUAAAAACCUCCCGUCUGAAUCAAAAGUUAAAUCUGGGGCUGUUUUCUGUUAGGUUGUACUUUUUGACCGUUGCCCUCGGUGCUGCUCGGCUGCUUGGCCCAUCCACGUAGCACAUGUCAAUACAGACCCUUGCCUGCUCUUAAUUGAGACAUAUCUGUAUCGAGCAGCCAAAUCUACCAGUCACUCAUUGAAUAUGAAAAAUGGAGUAUGGGAGGGAGAGAUCAAUGAUAUGGAUCUGCAUGUGCAGACUGAGCCUCCAUCCUGUGUGUGUGUUUCCAUGUGUGUGUUGGGGGUGCUGCAACGUUAUUGGACAUCUGAAUGAGUAAUGAUGUCGUCCCAGACUGUUCAAUUACCACCAGCGCUCGUUUAUUAAAGAGGGGUUGGAGAGAUGGAGGAAGGAGGAUGGUGGCUCUGGAGCCGAGAAAACGUCGGAUGAAUAUGUGGAGGAAGUGACAGAAGGAACAAAUGCAGGAAAUUCUACAUCUAUUCCAUAUCAUUUACUCAAUAUUAUAUCCACACACAAAAUGUAUAUAUUUUUUCUUUCAGCAGUGAGACAUGUAAGCUUAUUUAGAUGCUGCUGGGCAACAUU